rnacentral:rRNA from 1 species
GCCAGACUUGGAACCGGGAGAGGUAAGAGGUACUACAGGGGUAGGAGUGAAAUCUUGUAAUCCCUGUGGGACCACCUGUGGCGAAGGCGUCUUACCAGAACGGGUUCGACGGUGAGGGACGAAAGCUGGGGGCACGAACCGGAUUAGAUACCCGGGUAGUCCCAGCCGUAAACGAUGCUCGCUAGGUGUCAGGCAUGGCGCGACCGUGUCUGGUGCCGCAGGGAAGCCGUGAAGCGAGCCACCUGGGAAGUACGGCCGCAAGGCUGAAACUUAAAGGAAUUGGCGGGGGAGCACAACAACGGGUGGAAGCCUGCGGUUUAAUUGGACUCAACGCCGGACAACUCACCGGGGGCGACAGCAAUAUGUAGGCCAAGCUGAAGACUUUGCCUGAAUCGCUGAGGGGUGGUGCAUGG